rnacentral:rRNA from 1 species
GAUGAACGCUAGCGGCAGGCCUAACACAUGCAAGUCGAGGGAGGAGCCUUCGGGCUUCGACCGGCGUACGGGUGCGUAACGCGUAUACAAUCUGCCUUUCACAUAGGGAUAGCCCGAAGAAAUUUGGAUUAAUACCUAAUGGUAUAUAGAUGUGGCAUCACCUUUAUAUUAAAGCUGAGGCGGUGAAAGAUGAGUAUGCGUUCUAUUAGCUAGUUGGAGAGGUAACGGCUCCCAAGGCGACGAUAGAUAGGGGUUCUGAGAGGGAUAUCCCCCACACUGGUACUGAGAUACGGACCAGACUCCUACGGGAGGCAGCAGUGAGGAAUAUUGGACAAUGGUCGGAAGACUGAUCCAGCCAUGCCGCGUGCAGGAAGACGGCCUUAUGGGUUGUAAACUGCUUUUGCAGGGGAAGAAUAAGGACUACGCGUAGUUUGAUGACGGUACUCUGCGAAUAAGCAUCGGCUAACUCCGUG